UACGAAGGGGGCUAGCGUUGCUCGGAAUCACUGGGCGUAAAGGGUGCGUAGGCGGGUUUUUAAGUCAGGGGUGAAAUCCUGGAGCUCAACUCCAGAACUGCCUUUGAUACUGGUGAGCUUGAGUCCGGAAGAGGUGAGUGGAACUGCGAGUGUAGAGGUGAAAUUCGUAGAUAUUCGCAAGAACACCAGUGGCGAAGGCGGCUCACUGGUCCGGUACUGACGCUGAGGAGCGAAAGCGU
rnacentral:rRNA from 1 species